rnacentral:rRNA from 1 species
CCUACGGGUGGCAGCAGUGAGGAAUAUUGGUCAAUGGUCGGGAGACUGAACCAGCCAAGCCGCGUGAGGGAUGAAGGUACAGAGUAUCGUAAACCUCUUUUGUCAGGGAACAAAGGCGGGGACGUGUCCCCGGAUGAGUGUACCUGAAGAAAAAGCAUCGGCUAAGUCCGUGCCAGCAGCCGCGGUACUACGGAGGAUGCGAGCGUUAUCCGGAUUGAUUGGGUUUAAAGGGUGCGCAGGCGGUCUGUUAAGUCAGUGGGCAAAGCUCGGGGCUCAACCCCGACCUGCCGUUGAAACUGGCAGGCUCGAGUUGGAGAGAGGUAUGCGGAAUGCGCGGUGUAGCGGUGAAAUGCAUAGAUAUCGCGCAGAACACCGAUUGCGAAGGCAGCAUGCCGGCUCCACACUGACGCUGAGGCACGAAAGCGUGGGUAUCGAACAGGAUUAGAUACCCUAGUAGUC